GCGGCACGUUUCUCGGCCUGGGUCGUGGCGCAUCUCCCAUUGGUUCCGGCCUGGGUGGAGCGCGGCUCUGCUUGGUUCCUGCCCAGGUGGGGGCGUGUCUCCUCCCUGGCGGGAACCCGGAACCCGGAACCCGGAAGGCGCGGCCUGUGGCGGGUACUGACUGCUUCCCACGGUCCCGUGGCCGCUGCAGGCCCCGUACGCGCCGUCUAUUGUUUUGAGCCGCUUAAAGUUUUGGAGUAACCUUUUAGGUCGCAACAGUUGACAACUACACUGAGUCUUUCCGGUCCCACUGCCCUGGCCGUUGACCGCACACCGGCCACCGACUGAGCCGCUAGUUUCGGUUGCCGCUGCCUCCCUGCCCGUCCAUGACGUCCUCCACUGUGUCGCCGGUGCAUGACGCUCCCACCCUCUGCCUGGAGUUGACUGGGUUUGUAUCCUGAAGAAUCCCUGGCUCAGCAGGACGCAGCUGCAAACAUAAGUGAACCGGAAAGGCUGCUCACUCCUUGGCUACCCAUGUGUCCCCACAUCAGUUCCUGCAUCUGGAAGCAGCCGCAGUGGCGACCACACAGUGACUUCCCCCAGGACGUGUCUCUGCCCCUCCCACCCUGCUCCUGCAGAGGGCCCUGGGUCAGGGGUUCUCAAGACCCCAGAGUCCCUAACCAGAAAUCAGAGGGGAAGGUUCCUACUGUACCCGCCUCCCAACCAAUGGGUUUUUCCUCCUUAUUCUGAACAAAGCACGCCACGCACGCAAUUCCACCUCUAAGGUGGCUUCUCCAAUACCCACAGGCCAUUCUCCAACUAUGACAAAAGUUUGGUUUUAAUAUCGGGCAACACAAAACACAGUACAUCACUUCAGACUAAAU
rnacentral:lncRNA from 1 species